ACACAUGCAAGUCGAGGGGAAACGACAUCGAAAGCUUGCUUUUGAUGGGCGUCGACCGGCGCACGGGUGAGUAACGCGUAUCCAACCUGCCCACCACUUGGGGAUAACCUUGCGAAAGUAAGACUAAUACCCAAUGAUAUCUCUAGAAGACAUCUGAAAGAGAUUAAAGAUUUAUCGGUGAUGGAUGGGGAUGCGUCUGAUUAGCUUGUUGGCGGGGUAACGGCCCACCAAGGCGACGAUCAGUAGGGGUUCUGAGAGGAAGGUCCCCCACAUUGGAACUGAGACACGGUCCAAACUCCUACGGGAGGCAGCAGUGAGGAAUAUUGGUCAAUGGACGAGAGUCUGAACCAGCCAAGUAGCGUGCAGGAAGACGGCCCUAUGGGUUGUAAACUGCUUUUAUAAGGGAAUAAAGUGAGUCUCGUGAGACUUUUUGCAUGUACCUUAUGAAUAAGGACCGGCUAAUUCCGUGCCAGCAGCCGCGGUAAUACGGAAGGUCCGGGCGUUAUCCGGAUUUAUUGGGUUUAAAGGGAGCGUAGGCCGGAGAUUAAGCGUGUUGUGAAAUGUAGACGCUCAACGUCUGCACUGCAGCGCGAACUGGUCUUCUUGAGUACGCACAACGUGGGCGGAAUUCGUGGUGUAGCGGUGAAAUGCUUAGAUAUCACGAAGAACUCCGAUUGCGAAGGCAGCUCACGGGAGCGCAACUGACGCUGAAGCUCGAAAGUGCGGGUAUCGAACAGGAUUAGAUACCCUGGUAGUCCGCACGGUAAACGAUGGAUGCCCGCUGUUGGCCUGAAUAGGUCAGCGGCCAAGCGAAAGCAUUAAGCAUCCCACCUGGGGAGUACGCCGGCAACGGUGAAACUCAAAGGAAUUGACGGGGGCC
rnacentral:rRNA from 1 species